AGAGUUUGAUCCUGGCUCAGGACGAACGCUGGCGGCGUGCUUAACACAUGCAAGUCGAGCGAGCCUUCGGGCUAGCGGCGAACGGGUGAGUAACACGUGAGCAACCUGCCCCUGGCUCUGGGAUAGCCUCCGGAAACGGGGAUUAAUACCGGAUAUUCACUUUUUCCUGCAUGGGAUGGGGUGGAAAGUUUUUCGGCUGGGGAGGGGCUCGCGGUCUAUCAGCUUGUUGGCGGGGUAACGGCCCACCAAGGCUUAGACGGGUAGCUGGUCUGAGAGGAUGGUCAGCCACACUGGGACUGAGACACGGCUCAGAGUCCUACGGGAUGCAGCAGUCAGGAAUAUUGCGCAAUGGAGGAAACUCUGACGCAGCGACGCCGCGUGGGUGAUGAAGGCCUUCGGGUCGUAAAGCCCUGUCGGAGGGAAAGAAAAGCUCGCUGGCUAAUAUCCAGCGAGCCCUUGACGGUACCCUCAAAGGAAGCAC
rnacentral:rRNA from 1 species